rnacentral:rRNA from 1 species
GACGUAGGAGGCGAGCGUUGUCCGGAUUCAUUGGGCGUAAAGAGCACGCAGGCGGUUUGGCAAGUCGGAUGUGAAAACCCGGAGCUCAACUCCGGACCUGCAUCCGAAACUGCCCGACUAGAGGUAGGUAGGGGAGAUCGGAAUUCCUGGUGUAGCGGUGAAAUGCGCAGAUAUCAGGAGGAACACCGGUGGCGAAGGCGGCUCACUGGCCCCAUAACUGACGCUGAGGCACGAAAGCGUGGGGAGCAAACAGG